GAUGAACGCUGGCGGCGUGCCUAAUACAUGCAAGUCGAGCGAAUGGAUUAAGAGCUUGCUCUUAUGAAGUUAGCGGCGGACGGGUGAGUAACACGUGGGUAACCUGCCCAUAAGACUGGGAUAACUCCGGGAAACCGGGGCUAAUACCGGAUAACAUUUUGAACCGCAUGGUUCGAAAUUGAAAGGCGGCUUCGGCUGUCACUUAUGGAUGGACCCGCGUCGCAUUAGCUAGUUGGUGAGGUAACGGCUCACCAAGGCAACGAUGCGUAGCCGACCUGAGAGGGUGAUCGGCCACACUGGGACUGAGACACGGCCCAGACUCCUACGGGAGGCAGCAGUAGGGAAGCGUCCGCAAUGGACGAAAGUCUGACGGAACAACGCCGCGUGAGUGAUGAAGGCUUUCGGGUCGUAAAACUCUGUUGUUAGGGAAGAACAAGUGCUAGUUGAAUAAGCUGGCACCUUGACGGUACCUAACCAGAAAGCCACGGCUAACUACGUGCCAGCCGCCGCGGUAA
rnacentral:rRNA from 1 species